UACGGGGGGGGCAAGCGUUGUUCGGAAUUACUGGGCGUAAAGGGCUCGUAGGCGGCCAACUAAGUCAGACGUGAAAUCCCCAGGCUUAACCUGGGAACUGCGUCUGAUACUGGAUGGCUUGAGUUUGGGAGAGGGACGCGGAAUUCCAGGUGUAGCGGUGAAAUGCGUAGAUAUCUGGAGGAACACCGGUGGCGAAGGCGGCGUCCUGGACCAACACUGACACUGAGGAGCGAAAGCCAGGGGAGCAAACGGG
rnacentral:rRNA from 1 species